GACGUGUGCACCACCCCUUGACACGUUCCGGCCCUGACCCCUGCCGGGUGGAGCAGGGUGAACUUCCUUCCUGUGGAGACCCACGAAGGUUCUACGAAACAACAGUUCUUUCCUGGGAUGCCAGUGUUGCCAGGAUAUGAGUGGAUAUAGUAAACAGAGCUGUUCAUACAGUUUGUAGCCUCGUGAGCAGGAAAUGGAGAUGAACACGGAUACAGCAGCACUUAAUCACCAGCAUUACUCUUACCUCACCAGAUUUCAGGAGGAGACACUGGCUGACUGAUGUGCCACUCACUCCAUCUUCAAGCAAACAUAAGGCUCACCUACAGGGUUCCACUGCAGAUUUUGGCCUGCUGGUUGUUGGGGUGGUUGUCAUGGGUGGAGUCAAACAUCUGGACAACAGAGGAUCGGAAAACCUGAGAACACUCUUGAAAUGGCAACAGGAAACGAGGAGAAAUGAAGUGAGCUCCGUGCCAGAGGCUCUUUAGAGAUCCAAGAGUCCCAUCAGCAGAAGCGCAGAGGGGUCCAUAAACCCAGCGGUCUCCACUCAAGUUUCCAUCUGCUAAAUUCUAGUCUAGUUAAAUAAGAGGCGGAAUCUUUUUCCAGCAGAGUCCACUAUUACUGUACUGAGAUCAGUGGGACAGCUGGACAUGAGAACUGGCUUCAACAUCCAUGACCUUCAGAGAGGUCAGCCCACAUCCACAUGCUCUUUGGCACAGGAAGCAGUUUGAGAUUUCAUUUGAUUUUACUGGCACUUGAAAUAGCAGGCGAUUUGAAAAAAGGUGUGGCAAUACCAAAGCUGCUAUUUUUCACAUUAUAUAAUGGCAGCUGAAAUCAAUGGAAAGUGUUUUGCAGGAAUCAGAUUAUGUGUAUGAAAUGGAAUUACAUUAUGAAACUGUUUCCCUAUUUAAAUAAGCUAAGAGGCUUGUAAGCUGAAAGCAAUAUGACCAUUUCUCUCUCUUUCUCUCUCACUUCAGUGUUUGUUUAUGCUGAAGAAACAGAGAGCUGAGAGUGCAUAACUGCUCUGCAAAUCAGGAAAUUAUAUAUUAAAAGGUUACAUAUACUGAAAAUAUCUCACCCAGUGCAAUGUUUGUUUGAAAUCUGUUUGAUGCUAAUUAAACACAAAGGCCAUUGUAUUGUUUUAGACUGUUUUUUUUUUUUUGUGAA